rnacentral:lncRNA from 1 species
AUAUACGUCAUAGCCAAUUAACAAACAAUAAAACAUUGAAUAAAAACGUGGAGAAGGGAGAUUGGAAUUUCCAAAAUUCUUAUGAGGCUUUAAUUAAGUCCACUGGGUGCUCGGAAUUAUCAAAUCAUUUCUACAUUUCCAUUCUAAGGGGAAAAAAUAAUUCACCUUCAAUGUUCAAAAGCACUAGGAUAAACCUUACUCUUCAUUAAUAAUACCAUUUAUAACUAGCCCUUGAUUGGGAAGAAAAUCAGACCAAUGUUCUAAAUCUCGUUUUAUUUCAAAUAUAUAAUUUGUGAUUUUUUCAAGAUAAAGAAAGAGAUGUAAAAUGAAUGGAAAUGGAAACAAAUUCAAAGCAAGAAUGAUAAUACGAUUAUUAUAUUUUAGAUUUUUUUAAUGAAAAAAAUAACUUGCCUUCA